rnacentral:lncRNA from 1 species
CCGCUACAGAAGUUCGAUCAUAGUCUGGUUCCCGUAGAAGUCCGGAUGGGGAUCAUUUGUUGAGGAAGCUCGAUCGAAGCCUGCCUGCAAUAGAAGUUCGGAAAGAAUUCGUUCACAAUAGAAGCUCAGGUGGAGGCUUACAGUAGAAAUCCGACGUGGACCGCUCGUAGUAGAAAUUUGAAGUAGACCGCUUGUAGUGGUAGUUUG